CUUGGUUCAAAAUCUGGUCUUUGUUUUCCCUUCUCUGUACUGUGCAAGGGUAAAGAAAAGAGGUGGUAAUAUGCAUCCUCACAUGCGGCUGAUAGGAACUCUCACUCAUAUGGAAAAUGAAUUGGGUCGUUCCAGAAAAGAUCCAUACUCCCCCCAUGGAGGAAAUUUCUGCCGUCCGGAGGGGGAGGGGAGAAAAAAUUGUUUCUGAUAAUAGUUAAUGUAUUAGGACAUCUGAAGGG